AAAGUCUUGGUCCUAAACCUAACAUUACCUGUAACUUAGACUAUACAUGCAAGCCUCCACACAACAGUGAGACAGCCCAACUAACCAUAGGAGCAAGUAUCAGGCUAAAACAUGCCUAUAACACUAAGCUUAAACCAAGCCACACCCCCACGGGCCUGCAGCAGUAAUUAACAUUGGGCUAUAAGUGUAAACUUGACCCAGCCAAAGUUAUUCCAGAGCCGGUUAAUAUCGUGCCAGCGACCGCGGUUAUACGAUAGACUCAAGAUAAUGUAAACGGCGUAAAGCAUGACCAAAAUAAACAUAAUUAAGGAAAAAGCACAUCUUAGCUGUAGAACGCUAAAGCCAAACUAAACACCAAUUCCUUAAUAUCAACUUCCACUCAUGAAAGCUAUGACACAAACUAGGAUUAGAUACCCUACUAUGCACAGCCAUAACAAGACAGCCCACUUACCAACUGUCCGCCAAAAUACUACGAGUGAAAACUUAAAACUUAAAGGACUUGACGGUACCCCACAUUCAACCUAGAGGAGCCUGUCCACUAACCGAUAAUCCACGAUUAACCUUACCAUUUCUUGCCACACAGUCUAUAUACCGCCGUCGCCAGCCUACCUUGUGAAAGCCACAUAGUGAGCUUAACAGUCCCCCACUAAAACGACAGGUCGAGGUGUAACUAAUGAAAUGGCAUAAGAUGGGCUACAUUACCUAAUCAAGGUACACGAACAAAACUAUGAAACUAGUCUUCAAAGAUGGAUUUAGCAGUAAGUUAGGAAUAGAAUACCAAACUGAACACAACGCAAUGGGGUGCGUACACACCGCCCGUCAUCCCUAUCAAACUAAACCAACCAUAAUAUAAACAUUAUAAAGAUAGGGCAGUGUACAUGGUAAGCGUACUGGAAAGUGCGCUUAGAAA
rnacentral:ncRNA from 1 species